GAUGAACGCUGGCGGCGUGCCUAAUACAUGCAAGUCGAGCGAACAGACGAGGAGCUUGCUCCUCUGACGUUAGCGGCGGACGGGUGAGUAACACGUGGAUAACCUACCUAUAAGACUGGGAUAACUUCGGGAAACCGGAGCUAAUACCGGAUAAUAUAUUGAACCGCAUGGUUCAAUAGUGAAAGACGGUUUUGCUGUCACUUAUAGAUGGAUCCGCGCCGCAUUAGCUAGUUGGUAAGGUAACGGCUUACCAAGGCAACGAUGCGUAGCCGACCUGAGAGGGUGAUCGGCCACACUGGAACUGAGACACGGUCCAGACUCCUACGGGAGGCAGCAGUAGGGAAUCUUCCGCAAUGGGCGAAAGCCUGACGGAGCAACGCCGCGUGAGUGAUGAAGGUCUUCGGAUCGUAAAACUCUGUUAUUAGGGAAGAACAAAUGUGUAAGUAACUAUGCACGUCUUGACGGUACCUAAGCAGAAAGCCACGGCUAACUACGU
rnacentral:rRNA from 1 species